CCGUAACUCGACGUUUGUAGGAGAGAGCGUGACGAGGAAAGGAGAGGGGCACCGAAUUGCUCGUGCUCGGGCAACACACUUUGUGCUAUCGUUCGUCUGUGUAAAUUGAGUUAGCGGUUCACAGCUGACAACAACAAUUGCAUACACAAAAAUCGUCGUGUAAAUGAUGAUGAUACACGGAAACUUUUGUCGACGCGAUUUUUCACAUUCCCUUUUGGUGUUGCUCAUUUCAUUUACACACGGCGAUUUUUGUUGCCGUAACUCGACGUUUGUUGGAGAGAGCGCGACGAGGAAAGGAGAGGGGCACCGAGUUGCUCGUGCUCGGGCAACACGCUUUGUGCUCUCGUUCUUCUCAAUAUCGUUAAGUUGGCUGGAAAUUAGUUUGACGUUUCUCUUCAUUUCUUUUCUUCAUUGAUUUCAUCUUCAAUCAAUAUAAAGCGUGGAAUUUAACCAUUACAAAAUAAAGAUGGAAUACCACCAAAAAGUCGAUUUACUGAAAAAUGUUUUUGAGUGCGUUGCGGAAGCCGUAGAAAUGGAUUCGGAAGAUAGCGAUAAGGCUGACGCCCUAACAGGACUAGUUGGUAUGUGCCAAAAAAUAAUAUCUACGCCAGUACCAAAGAAACGAAAGGCGAUGUGGGUAAAGGUAUGGAGGGAAAAAA